rnacentral:rRNA from 1 species
AUUGAACGCUGGCGGCAUGCCUAACACAUGCAAGUCGAACGAGUGGCGGACGGGUGAGUAAUGUCUGGGCAACCGCCUGAGGGAGGGGGAUAACUACUGGAAACGGUAGCUAAUACCGCAUACGAUCGGCUGUGCCCAGAUGGGAUUAGCUGGUGGGUGGGGUAAAGGCUCACCUAGGCGACGAUCCCUAGCUGGUCUGAGAGGAUGACCAGCCACACUGGAACUGGGACACGGUCCAGACUCCUACGGGAGGGAGCAGUGGGGAAUAUUGCACAAUGGGCGCAAGCCUGAUACAGCCAUGCCGCGUGUAUGAAGAAGGCCUUCGGGUUGUAAAGUACCUUCAGCGGGGAGGCGUUACCCGCAGAAGAAGCACCGGCUAACUCCGUGCCAGCAGCCGCGGUAAUAC